UUGUUUUUUUCUUUUUAUGCGUCUAAGCUUGUGAAUGAAUUAACAGCACGAGCAGUUACAAUUGUUGCCUUCUCGGCACUUGCAGCUUUAGACGCGACAAAAGUAAGGUAAAGAUUUAAUUGUUUUACAAAUAACACAAUUGGCGUUGUAGCACACGUAAGUGAGAUAUCAAGAAGAAAUGUUCAAAUGACAUUUUAGGAUGUGUGGUGGGAGUAGUUAUUUAAACCCAGGAUGUUGAAUUUAAAAGAAAAUGACUGCAACAUUUGCCACAACUUUCCAUUUUCCAGUUUAAAUAGUAUUUAUUUGUAAUUUUUUUGUCGGACUUUAUUUAAAGUUUUUGUAAAAAAAAAUGUUUAGCAUACGACCAUUUGGACUUGAAGGGAUUGCGCCCCCUGCUGGCGUCGAGGUCGAAUUGAACGCAGCGCCCACUUCCGGUUUCGGGAUUUGCGUAAGCUAGCUCGUUCGCUGUGGCUAGCUCGCCAAAAACGAGCAGUCAGUCACUUUCAACGCAAUAUAAAGAUUUGAGUCGCUACUAUGAAGAGAAAAUUUGUGGUAUUAUUUCUGGUUAUUUCGCUCUUCAUAAUGAAAGUCGGCAGGCACGCGGCAGUUAAGUGCGUGAGGUGCGUUCAGGGACACUGCAUAAAUGCGAGCGAAUGCGUUCUUUUGUCAUGUAAAAAUGGAUUGCGUGGAACAUUAUGCUUUAGUUAAAACGGGCCGUGCGCUCCCACUAAUAUCGAUUGUAGUUUGGUCAUCGAUUUGAAUGUAGUCAACCAGAGCUGCAAGGAAUGCAGUUCUCAAUGUAAUUUUCAUCAUUGUUCCCGUUAUACUGUGUUGCGUGUUUUUGUUGGCACGUUCAGGACAAAAGUUGUUUUAAUUCUUCAUUGGAAAUAAAACAAAAAUCAAAUAACAAUACAUAGAAACAAUGUUUUUGAGAUUGUAGGGCGAAAGCUACAAUUGUGCACAGAAUAUCAACACUGGGGAAAUGAAAUGCAAGUAUUUUGAAGGUAAUGGCCUGUGCAAUAUUAAAAAAAAUAAUAUAUAUAUACAUAUACUGUGCUAGUUCGUUUUUGGACCAGUGAAUUUAGUUAAUGUAGAAUUGUGAAUGGAAGUGGCAGUUGUAGUUUUUUUAUUUUUUGUUUUUGAGUAGAACAGUGAUCCAGUAUUAUUUGACAUCACAAUAUAUAUAUUGUAUGUAAAAGAAAAACAAUCUCACAGUUUAUUUGUUUUUUUAGCUCUUUUGGCUGGUAUUCUUUAAGUGAUUUCUUUAACAGGUCUGGAGGUAAUCAGUGAAAAGUAUGAAAAAGAGUAAUUUUUCCUUAAAUGUGAAAUGAGCAUUUAAAAACAGCAUUUUAAGAUCACUUGGGUUAUGUGCCCCUUUUCCAUUUGUUUGAUAAACAUUAGUGGGAAAAAAAAUUUGAAGGGUGGCGGUCAAUACACUUUCCAUGGCACUGUAUGAAAAGUAAAUGAAAUCUGUCAUUGCAGGUCAUCUGUUGCAGAAGAGGUGAAUAGCGGACGCAAGUGAACAUGGAGGCCAACAGUGUUCUGUCCUGGCUGAGUCUGAAGUGCACACUGGUCCCAAACAUUGUCAGAUGUAAUAAACUUCCCAUGGCAUCAUCA